rnacentral:rRNA from 1 species
UACGUAGGGUGCGAGCGUUACUCGGAAUUAUUGGGCGUAAAGCGCACGUAGUCGGCUUUGCAAGUCGGUUGUGAAAUCCCCGGGCUCAACCUGGGAACUGCAUCCGAGACUGCAUUGCUAGAGUAUGGGAGAGGAAAGCGGAAUUUCUGGUGUAGCAGUGAAAUGCGUAGAUAUCAGAAGGAACAUCAGUGGCGAAGGCGGCUUUCUGGACCAAUACUGACGAUCAGGUGCGAAAGCGUGGGGAGCAAACAGG